AACGAACGCUGGCGGCAGGCCUAGCACAUGCAAGUCGAGCGAGGACUUCGGUCCUAGCGGCGGACGGGUGAGUAACGCGUGGGAACGUGCCCUUUGCUUCGGAAUAGCCCUGGGAAACUGGGAGUAAUACCGGAUGAGCCCUUUGGGGGAAAGAUUUAUCGGCGAAGGAUCGGCCCGCGUUGGAUUAGGUAGUUGGUGGGGUAAUGGCCUACCAAGCCGACGAUCCAUAGCUGGUUUGAGAGGAUGAUCAGCCACACUGGGACUGAGACACGGCCCAGACUCCUACGGGAGGCAGCAGUGGGGAAUCUUAGACAAUGGGGGAAACCCUGAUCGAGCCAUGCCGCGUGAGCGAUGAAGGCCUUAGGGUUGUAAAGCUCUUUCAGCUGGGAAGAUAAUGACGGUACCAGCAGAAGAAGCCCCGGCUAACUCCGUG
rnacentral:rRNA from 1 species